rnacentral:rRNA from 1 species
GCUUUGUUUGCGCAGGAUAGGUGGGAGGCGUUGAAAGUUUUCUUGCGGGAAGAUUUGAGCCAUUGGUGAGAUACCACUCUAACAAUGCUAGGAUUCUAACCCUAUGUCGUUAUCCGGCUAGGGGACAGUUUCAGGUGGUCAGUCUGACUGGGGCGGUCGCCUCCUAAAAGGUAACGGAGGCGUGCAAAGGUUCCCUCAGGCUGGUUGGAAAUCAGUCGUAGAGUGUAAAGGCAUAAGGGAGCUUGAUUGUGAGACCUACAAGUCGAACAAAGACGAAAGUCGGCCUUAGUGAUCCGGCGGUACCGAGUGGAAGGGCCGUCGCUCAACGGAUAAAAGUUACUCUAGGGAUAACA